UAACACUUUAGAAAUGUAAAAAUUGCUAUACAAAUGCAAGGUCUUAUUACUCUACUAGGUUGCAGGAUUCAAACAGCCAGGAGAGUGCAUCUCAAUUGGAAUAAUUUCUGUGAUAACAGCCUUGGGCCAUCUUUGGAAAGAAGGUACCCCGCGAGCUCUGUCCAUUUCCUUGAAUAAGAACUCUUACAAAAUGCAUGAAAGGCAGGCACCAUUAAGCCAUUUGAACUGCAUUUCUCAUUUUUCAGAUACAUCAAUCCAGGAGCCAAAGCCCGGUUUUAGAGAUUUAAAGCUGUUAAAUAGCAUGUAGACCAUCCCUCUCGUUUUAUGGAUGCAGAAACUGAGACCUAUAGCAACUUCAGUGAAGGUCAAAGCUGUAAGAUUUGUCUUCUUACCUUAUAAAAGCAACCCUGCCUCCAUGACAGGGGUAUUAAUAUCUUUAUGCUGCACCUUAAAUUGUUUCAGAGUCUGCUCCCUCAGAAAACUCAACCUGUGACGGAUUCUGCUACAUGGGGUAAGUAGAAAAAAAUCUGAAUUUAAAGUCUGAAAAUUAAGAAUUCUAAUGCUGCCUGUUCCACUUACUUAUGUGACCUUAGACUAGGCAUCUCACAUCUCUGAAUGGUAGGUCUUUGUGUGUUCAUGUGUGUGUGUGUAUGUAAAAUACAGAUAAAAAUUCUUUCCUCACAGUAGCAUGUAAGAAAUUAAGUGUCAUAUAAGAAUGGUGGUAAAAGUCCUACAAAUAUAGCAGGAUAAUUUGUAAACCCCAAAGCAUAACAAUGAUGAUUAUUAAUGAACUCUCAUGGUGUAUUUGUUCUUUGAGCAAGACUUCUGUGGAUUACUCUUCCUAUAUUAAUACAUAAACAGUUUACUCUCUUGAAUACUCUAGAAAAAACUUUCAAAGUACUUCUUAACUAGUCAUGAGCUUGGCA
rnacentral:lncRNA from 1 species